rnacentral:rRNA from 1 species
AUUGAACGCUGGCGGCAUGCUUUACACAUGCAAGUCGAACGGCAGCGCGGGCUUCGGCCUGGCGGCGAGUGGCGAACGGGUGAGUAAUGCAUCGGAACGUGCCCAGUAGUGGGGGAUAGCCCGGCGAAAGCCGGAUUAAUACCGCAUACGACCUGAGGGUGAAAGCGGGGGACCGAAAGGCCUCGCGCUAUUGGAGCGGCCGAUGUCGGAUUAGCUAGUUGGUGGGGUAAAGGCUUACCAAGGCGACGAUCCGUAGCUGGUCUGAGAGGACGACCAGCCACACUGGGACUGAGACACGGCCCAGACUCCUACGGGAGGCAGCAGUGGGGAAUUUUGGACAAUGGGGGCAACCCUGAUCCGGCCAUGCCGCGUGCGAGAAGAAGGCCUUCGGGUUGUAAACCGCUUUUGUUCGGGAAGAAAUCCUCUGGGCUAAUACCCCGGGGGGAUGACGGUACCGGAAGAAUAAGCACCGGCUAACUACGUG